AAGAGUAUUUUUCUACUCCCAAACCCAUGUGAACCAUACCAUUGUUGCUUCGGCGGGUUUUCGCCCCAGGCGCUGUCGCGGCGACCUGGAACUAGGCGCCCGCCGGAGGACCCAAACUCUUGUCUUGCGAGUGGCAUUCUGAGUGGAUCAUACAAAUGAAUCA
rnacentral:misc_RNA from 1 species